CCCGGCGGGCUGUCACUUCCCAGCCCGCCUCUGCCCCCGCCGGCAGCCAGCCCGGCGGGCAGCCGGCACGCCGCCCCCGCCGCCCGGCCUGCCAGCCCCGCGCACCUGCCCGCCGCCGCGGCCCGCGCCCCAACCGCCGGGAGAAGGGGGACUGCCCGUUGAGGGGGGAAGGCGGGAGGGCGCGAGUGCAACGGUCCCUCCCCGGGACCCGCGCGCGCGACCCCGCUGCUUUUUCCUCUUUUUUUUUUUUUUUUUUAACACCCCCCCCCCAGUUGGCAGGGAAAAAAAAAAAAAGAAACUUACACUUUUGUGCGUCCCACCGGCGUGACGCUGCGCGCUGACGUCACGAGGGUGUAGCGUGCCUUGCACGGGCACACGCGGAGCGGGGCAGCUUUUCCCUCUGCAUUUGUCACUGUUCUUCGAUAAUGUUUGAAACCACUGAAGGAGAGGUGGAAUUGCCAUACAUUCCUGCAACCUUCGUGAAGCAUCAGUGCCUGGAGAGAAAGCCCUGAAUCCAGUGAGCAAGAACUCAAAUAUGAUGAAUCCUACCCUGUCCUACCAGUACAUACAGACUUCAGAACAGUCCAAGCUGCAUCUUGACAACCCCAGCAGAUGUCAGAGAAAACACAAGAGAAAACUGAGGCUGCUAUGGUAGAGGAAAGAGGGGAUUUUUUUUCAUGACUACUGAAAAAGCUGGUUGUUUCUUCUGCAGAGGAUUUAAAAUGAAGAAUAUUUGCAGACAGAUUCUACCAACCUGCUGGAUGGCUGCUAAACAGCACAUGAAGAUCCAAACAUCACAACCAUAUUCUGGAAGAUCCAGCAUUGAGAAAAGGAACCUUGGAGAUCUUUGAUGGGCAACAAAGCAGCAGAGCUGGAUGGAGAAGAUGAUGAUGUAUGUCACCUAAUGAAUUCCAGUUGGGAUCUUCCUUUGAUUUCUCUCAAAUUCAACAGAAAUGUUAAGAGGAUCAUCAGAGAAACAUUGCGUGUGUGUUUGUUCUGGACAGUGGUAGUGCUGACAGUGUCAGCAUCACCCACCUUCUGAAGAAGGCUGCACUAUUAAAGGGUUUUCACCUCUUGUAUUCAAGGUCCAACGCUGACCACAAGAUUUACCCAGAAGGGAAACACUGAGCCUGGCAAGUGAGUACAUCUGUACAGCACAUUGAGGACACACAACUUAGUGGAAGUGAUCUGCCUCCUCACCAGUGGUAGAUGCCCAAUUUCAAACUCCAUAUCCCUUGUAGGCUGACAAAAAAUGGGACACUGGAACCAUUAAAAAAAUAAAAAAGGUCAAACAGUCUACGCAAAGAUGCCUUCCAUCUUUUUAGAAAGCAAUCAAAACAAAAUCAAAUGACGCAGAGGUGGAAAGGUAAGGAUCUCAGUACUAGGUACCAAAACAGAAGUGAGAAAGAGAGUUCUCAAAACAUGGCUCUAAGAAUCAGUCCAGAUGUUCUCUCAAAAAUACGAGGACAGAGACUAACAGGAACUUUCUAACCUCAGCAGAUAGCACAAAGAGAGCCAGAAACCUUGAAAAACACACACAUGCUUAAAUGAACGUACAGAUGGAGAGUAACUCAAAGCGCAGCUGUUAAUGCCUAACUGCAAAGGUGUAUUAUUCCCACAAAUGCACCCAUGCGCGAAUUUGAAAGCAGUAGCAUUUCACAGGUCAAGCUCAGGGCAGGACCGCUGUUACAGAUAUUACAUUAACAAGAACUAUUCAGCUCAGCUUUUAGGCACCAGAAGGAUUUCUGUAGUGAGACAGAAAAGCAGGCAUUUAAGACAAGCAAAAGAGGAGCUAGCUUUUCCCAAUGACAUAUUUACAGUAAUUUGUCAAUUAACUCGAAUGUUUCUAUUUAUUCCUUUAUUCUAAAAGAACAGAACCUGUAUUACUGCGGUGGUGUACCAUUCCACCUCAGGAUCUCAGUGUUUCUGUUCUCUAUGAUAGGGUGUUUGCUGCAUGAGAAGGCAACAAGCCUUCUCUUUAGACAGGCAGGGUAGAAUCUUUCCCUGUGGCCUUUACAUAAUUUCACACGGUAAGUCUUUAUAUAUUUAUAGAUACAUAUCAUUUGCAUGCAUACAUAUAUGAGUAGAGAGCAAGCAAGUAGGCUUUUCUUACUAGAUUCUUUUUAUAAAGUUUAAGGAAUAAUUUUUAUCACAUUCAGGUUUUCUUUGCAACGUCAAAUCAAUCCUCUUUAAAACCUACCUCCUUGCCACCCCACAGAAGUUCCUGUAAACCACAAAAUUUCAAAGUAAUGGAAUGUAAAAGGGGAAAGGUAGGAUAGUAUUUAUUUGGGGGGAGUGGUAUUUUGGGUUUUAGGGGGGUUGAGUUUUGUUGGGGUUUUUUGUGUUUGUUUUGUGGGGUUUUUUUGUUUUGGUUUUGUUUUGUUUUUUACAAGAAGCAUUACCACAUUUUGUCAGAGGACUGUAACAUAGCUAAUUUUUCUGCUUUUAGCUAACUUUCUUCUGAGGUAGGAAUCACACCCAUUUUCCGUAAAACCAUCCGAACUUGUUAGGCAAUCUUCUUUUCUUUCCCUUCUUGUCAUUAUAAUGGUAACAACAGUUAAAAAGAAUGUGGUUUUUUUUUAAUUCUGUAACAGAACUACUAAAAUAAUUUCCUUGCAGUAUAACAUAGGCUAUAUGGAGUGGUGCCAGCAUGGCAACUGAGAUCUUGCUAUUUUCUUGUACUCUACCAAAGUCUUAUCUCUAGUCUUAAUUUAUGCAGUCACAAAAGGACAGUAUUUUUGUUCAGUCCCUUGUAAAAUUAACUUUGGGCUUAUAAUUACUUGUCAUGCUUUGUAUCCGUGAUAACACUAUCUGCUCCAUCACCGUCCUUACUGAAACACGUUAAAAAAACCUUACCUGUGAGCAUACAUUAAUUACUCAUCCAACCUUGUCAGUUAUAUGGGCCCAAGAGUUUUACCAUAGAUUACCACUUUCCUCCCUUUAUUAAAAAAUAAGUUAUUCAAAUAAACAUAUCUAUUACUAAGCAAUCUGACUGAUCAGCACAAGUUAUUAUCAUGGGCUGGGUAAAACAAAAAUCAAGAUUGGCAAACGUAACUACUUCCUUUUUAUUUUGGCAGCCACCAGAAAUGGCUUUAGUUUCUGUUACGAAACAAUUGGUAUCAAACAGGUAUAUAAGAAAAGCCAUUAAAAUUAUGCUGAUGAGACUUCACUAUUAUCUGAAUAAAUAUAUGGAGAUAAAAAGAACAGCAGAAAACUUAAAAUAAAAAUCAGCAGAAAAAGUGGUCUUGGGGAAAAAAAAAAAACAAACCCUGAGAAUUUGAGUAAGGACAGUUGAAGGAGUCUGGAUUUGUGUAAAAGGCCACAUUCAAACCUGCUGGUUUUACCUUGCAGUGUCCCCAAAAUAGGGCAACAUGCAUCUCCUAUACAAUCCACAGGCAGAGGCAAGUGCUUUCAUAAGGCCUGUCUCCUCAUUCACUCUACCUAAGCACUUCAGUAAUGUGUUACCAUUUCCUUUAGAGAAAGCGUAUUGGAGCAUGCAUGCACAGCUGGAGAAUGUAGCAGUUCAGAAUUAAGCUACUGAUUAACUGUAAAUAGUCUCAGAUUUAACUUGCUCUGGAUAACAAGCAUGAUGAGUUACUCUCCUGGUCUUAGGCAUCAAUGCUGCAUUUCAGUUGGCAUUCAGGUAUUCUCUGAGAUACAUCUUGUUCAAUCAUUUUUUCCCUGUGUUGAGAACACACAGAUCGCAUUUUCCUAACUAAAGAAACAAGAUGCUAUAAAAAGAGAUCCAUUUCCAUUACCAUAUUCUGCUUCUAGAGAAAACCAAGCCAUAAGGACCUUAAAUCUACAAUCUACUCUACCAACUGACUCAAAACAGUAAUAGAAUUUAGUAUAAAAAUGCAAAUAUAGCCACUGUGAAGACAGAAGAACAUUUGGGGGGCAAAACAACCAAAUCAAAAAAAAAAAUCUUUUUACUUUAAAAUUUUUAGUUGCAUAUUUUAAAUAGCCCAGACAAAUUCAGAAUUAACAAUGACAAACUGACAUUAAAACAAGAAUUGAGAGUACAACAUGGAAAUUGCAUAUGAACAUGAAUAUUACAUUUAAAAAUAUUAGCAAAGUCAAACCAAUAUUGUGGUCAGUUAACAUUUUGGUGUCUUAACAAAAUUUUCUAAAACUAAAAAAAAUAAUAAAAUUUAUCUCCUCCCGCCAAUUUGUAGACACCUUGUUUUUUCUCCUCCCCCACAUUUGUAGGUUAAUGCUAUUUUUAAAGUAAGUUUUCUAAGAAGUUACCUAUGGAUGCAAAGAAAAUGAUGGCAAGAAAGUCACGUAUUGGUUCAAUACAGGACAUAAUCUCCUCAGUAACCAUGUGACCCUGAGAAGAGAUCAGAGCUCCAGCUAAGAAGCAUCCCAGCUCCAUUGAAACAUCCAACAGCUCUGUGAUCUGCCAAGGAAUAACAGAAAAUCUAUUGCUAUUUUCUUUAGCCCUGAGCAACUUUAUAUACCAUUUCACAGUGAAAUUAUAAAACUGUACAUUAUAUUGAAUGUAGGAAAUUACUAUGUCUUUAUGAAAUUUCAACAACAAACAGAAUUCAGCGUAUUUCAGUGUUCUGCAGUAUUCUAUUUAUACAAAAGACUUGCAAAACCAGUUUCUGCUCCAUGUUAUCUCCCUCCCCACAAAAACAAAAAAACUGUCUUAAUCUACAUUGUAAUGCUUUAUGUAGUCUUAAGGAUAGCAUCUGAUUUCACAAAAACGAGAAAGACCAUAACAGCUUUGGAGUCAGGAUUGUGUAAUACAUUGAGACUGUGAAAUAAAGCAGUAAGAACAGCAUGUUUUUCCAGCUGUCAAACAAGGGAAAAAAAAAAAUUAAAAAAAAAAAAUCAAAGCUUAUAAUUUGGGAGAAUAGUCUCAAUUUAGCAGAAGUUGCAGGCAUAAAUUAUGUUUUAUUAUUGUAAAUUGGACUUAAAUGUGCCUGUGUUCUUUAUGAAUAGGGAUGCAUUUAAGCAUGUGAAAUAAACUGCUGAAAUGAA